rnacentral:lncRNA from 1 species
UCCUCCCCUUGGUGCGCAGCCCUUGGGGCUCCUUGAGCCUCAAGGCAACCCUCCCCUUCCUCCUCCUAUAUAUAUGGAGCAAUUAGGGCUGAUUUGAGACAACUUUUCAAAGGCAGCCCGACCACAUACCUCCACGGUUUUACCUCUAGAUCGUGUUUCUGCGGAGCUCGAGCGGAGCCCUGCCGAGAUCAGAUCACCACCAACC